rnacentral:rRNA from 1 species
UGAGGAAUAUUGCACAAUGGAGGAAACUCUGAUGCAGCCAUGCCGCGUGCAGGAUGAAUGCCCUAUGGGUUGUAAACUGCUUUUCUGCAAGAAGAAACCUUAGUACGUGUACUAAGCUGACGGUACUGCAGGAAUAAGCACCGGCUAACUCCGUGCCAGCAGCCGCGGUAAUACGGAGGGUGCAAGCGUUAUCCGGAUUUAUUGGGUUUAAAGGGUCCGCAGGCGGAACUUUAAGUCAGUGGUGAAAGCCUACAGCUUAACUGUAGAAUUGCCAUUGAAACUGAAGUUCUUGAGUGUGGUUGAAGUGGGCGGAAUAUGUCAUGUAGCGGUGAAAUGCAUAGAUAUGACAUGGAACACCUAUUGCGAAAGCAGCUCACUAAACCAUUACUGACGCUCAUGGACGAAAGUGUGGGUAGCGAACAGG